rnacentral:rRNA from 1 species
CACUUGGUGCUUUGAUACCAAGCAAUUCCUGCUCGGUGUGUUGAAUUAACAGCAGCGGUAUCUUGACCGUUCAAAGGUAGCAUAAUAAGCUUAGUAAUUGUAAGCCUGUCAACGGAUAUAUGGGUUUAGGUAAUUCAAGAGUCAUUUAGAAAAAAAUUAUUUUAAAAGUAAAAACUCUUUUAAAAGUCAAAAAGACGAUAAGACCCUAGAAUUUUGCAUUUUCGUUUAGAUGGGGAAUCUCAGGUAAAGAAAACCUCCAUGAAAAUACUCUAGGGAUAACAGCUCCAUUUGAGAGUAACUCUCAAGAUUGGGACCUCGAUGUUGAAUUAGGAAUCACGGCCUCCAGAAGAGGCUUUGUUUGGUCUGUUCGACCAAUUACUCCU